rnacentral:misc_RNA from 1 species
GUAGGUGAACCUGCGGAGGGAUCAUUACUGAAUGGCCCUGGGCCUUCAACCUUACAAACCUGUGGAAGCAACAUGUGCUUCGGCGCCUUUGGCGUCGCAUUUAUGCUGCAAUAAGCCCAUGUGUCUGAAUCAAAUACAAGAAAUAAAACUUUCAACAAAGGAUCUCUUGGCUCUCGCAUCGAUGAAGAACGCAGCAUCUGACUGACUUGGGAUGCAU